AUGCAAUGCGAUAACGGCGGCGAAUUUCUUACCACAUCCCUCCGCGACCUCUUCUCCCGCUAUGGUGCCUCUCUUCGCCUCUCCUGCCCGCAUACAUCACCACAAAAUGGAAAAGCCGAACGCCUCCUCCGUACAACCAAUGACAUCCUUCGAGUCCUCCUCAUACACGCCACACUACCUCCCGCUUUCUGGGUUGAGGCCCUUCACACCGCAACCUACAUCCUCAACCGCCGGCCUUCCACUGCCAUCGCCUCCGACACCCCUUACUUUCGUCUCCUCGGUAAACACCCUACGUACGACCACAUGCGCGUCUUCGGGUGUCUUUGCUUUCCAAACACAAUUGCCACUAGCCCUCACAAACUUGCCCCUCGCUCCUCACGUUGUGUUUUCCUUGGGUAUCCCUUGGAACACAAGGGGUAUCGGUGCCUGAAUUUGGAAUCACGCAAAGUUAUAAUUUCCAGACAUGUCACGUUUGAUGAAAACGUUUUUCCCUACUCUCCU
rnacentral:rRNA from 1 species